GCGGCGGCCGGGCAGCGGCGGAAGAAGAGGCGCACCGAGAGCAGCGCCAUGCAGGCGCCGCGGUCCUGGAAGGCCAGGGCGGCCAGGUGGCCGUGGCCGUGUCGGCGUCCGACUCGUGGUAGAACACCGAGAAGGUCUCCUUGCAGGUGCGGGCGGCGGCGCGGCGGCCGCGGGGCGGGGCGGGGCCGUUUCCGGGGAAAUUGGGCGGUUUUGGGUCGUUGACGUGGAGAUCGAUGGGUUUGGGGCCGUUUCCGGGGAAAUUGGGUGAUUUUGGGUCGUUGACGUGGAGAUCGAUGGGUUUGGGGCCGUUUCUGGGGAAAUUGGGCGGUUUUGGGUCGUUGCCGUGGAGAUCGAUGGGUUUGGGGUCAUCUCCAUAGAAAUUGGGUGAUUUUGGGUCACUGAUGUGGAGAUCGAUGGGUUUGGGGCCGUUUCUGGGGAAAUUGGGUGAUUUUGGGUCGUUGACGUGGAGAUCGAUGGGUUUGGGGUCGUUUCCGGGGAAAUUGGGUGAUUUUGGGUCGUUGCCAUGGAGAUCAAUGGGUUUGGGGUCGUUUCUGGAGAAAUUGGGCGGUUUUGGGUCAUUGCCAUGGAGAUCGAUGGGUUUGGGGCCGUUUCCAUGAAGAUUGAUUGGUUUGGGGUCGUUGCCAUGGAGAUUGACAAAUUUGGGGUCGUUUCCGUUAAAAUUGAGCGGUUUUGGGUCAUUUCCAUAAAAAUUGGUGGGUUUGGGGUCGUUUCCAUGGAGAUCGACAAAUCUGGGAUCCCCGGCGCCGUGUCCAUGCGUGUCCCCAAUGCCGUGUCCAUGCGUGUCCCCAAUGCCGUGUCCAUGCGUGUCCCCGAUGCCGUGUCCAUGCGUGUCCCCCGUGGCGUGUCCGGGCGCGUCCCCACGCGUGUCCUCGCGUGUUCCCCGCGCCGCCCGCGUGCCGCCGGGCCCGUCGCAGGCCAUGACCGUGAAGCGAAUCUCGGCCAGGACCGUGAUGGCGGCGCCGCGCCGCACCCAGCGCGAGCGCAGCCAGCUGUUCUGGGCGGGGCUCCAGCUGUUGGGGGCGGGGCUCUGACUGUUGUGGGCGGGGCUCCAGCUGUUCUGGGCGGGGCUC
rnacentral:lncRNA from 1 species